CUAACGCUUUAAAGCAUCCCCGCCCUGGAGAGUACGGUCGCAAGAUUAAAACUCAAAGGAAUUUGACGGGGGCCCGCACAAGCGGUGGAGCAUGUGGUUCAAUUCGAAGCAACGCGCAGAACCUUACCAGCCCUUGACAUGUCCUCUAUGGAUUCCAGAGACGGAGUCCUUCACUUCGGGUGGGAGGAACACAGGUGCUGCAUGGCUGUCGUCAGCUCGUGUCGUGAGAUGUUGGGUUAAGUCCCGCAACGAGCGCAACCCUCGCCCUUAGUUGCCAUCAUUUAGUUGGGCACUCUAAGGGGACUGCCGGUGAUAAGCCGGAGGAAGGUGGGGAUGACGUCAAGUCCUCAUGGCCCUUACGGGCUGGGCUACACACGUGCUACAAUGGCGGUGACAGAGGGAUGCAAAGGGGCAACCCUUCGCAAAUCUCAAAAAUCCGUCUCAGUUCGGAUUGGGGUCUGCAACUCGACCCCAUGAAGUUGGAAUCGCUAGUAAUCGCAGAUCAGCACGCUGCGGUGAAUACGUUCCCGGGCCUUGUACACACCGCCCGUCACACCAUGGGAGUUGGCUUUACCUGAAGACGGUGCGCUAACCGCAAGGAGGCAGCCGGCCACGGUAGGGUCAGCGACUGGGGUGAAGUCGUAACAAGGUAGCCGUAGGGGAACCUGCGGCUGGAUCACCUCCUUAAUCGGAUCCCGGGCCCGUCGACUGCC
rnacentral:rRNA from 1 species